rnacentral:rRNA from 1 species
CUUUACUUAGAUUUCUUCGGAUUGAAGAGUUUUGCGACUGAGCGGCGGACGGGUGAGUAACGCGUGGGUAACCUGCCUCAUACAGGGGGAUAACAGUUAGAAAUGACUGCUAAUACCGCAUAAGACCACGGUACCGCAUGGUACAGUGGGAAAAACUCCGGUGGUAUGAGAUGGACCCGCGUCUGAUUAGCUAGUUGGUAAGGUAACGGCUUACCAAGGCGACGAUCAGUAGCCGACCUGAGAGGGUGACCGGCCACAUUGGGACUGAGACACGGCCCAAACUCC